ACUGUCUGCACCGCCACACGUGACCGAUGACGACUGGCGGAUACUCUGCGAUAGAUUUUCAUCUGAUUCUUUUCAGGUAAUAUUUACAUAUUUACGAUAUCUUAAGGUAACAAUUGAAUUCGCAAUUAAUAACAAUGUAUUAUGACUAAUGUGUUCAGAAGAGAAGCAAAAUAAAUUCUGACAACAGGGAAAAGUUAGAAGUGAACCACGUAUCUAGUUUAAAGUCAUUUGCAGAAAUUCGUCACAACAUGUGAGAUUCCGUCAUUGGCCAGGAGCCCGGACCAGUAGACCUAUACAAAGGGACUCACUGUCGACAGGCGACGGGAUCUUGGGUACAUCCUAGAGCCGGCGAGAUUCGGGCGGCGAUGGACACCUUACACAAUCAGCCCACUCCCGAUGGUACUCAGCGGAGUGAGCCAGAGAUCCUGAGUGAGGUGCUUCCCACCCGUUCUGGAUAUGUGCGUGGGCUUGGCUAUGGUGCCAAGCUCAUGGCACCCACUAGAGCUGUCUCCACUCGAUCCAUUGUCGUUGGUGAGAGUGCCACCCGCUGAACUGAUAUCGCAGAGAAAGAGGUUCAGCAGCUACAAGUCGUCGUCCAUGACAUCAGAGAGCAGCUAGAGAAGAAGAGUGAGCAGCUGGAGAGGCAGAUGGAAGAGCAGGAGAGGAGGAUGGAGGAUCUGACGAGGCAGAGGGAGGAGCAGGAGAGGGGGAUGGAGGAUUAGACGAGGCAGAGGGAGGAGCAGGAGAGGAGGAGGAUGGAGGAGCAGGCGAGGGGGAGAGGAGCAGGAGAGGAGGAUGGAGGAGAUGCGGGUGGAGCAUGAGCGACGGAUGACGGAGAUGUUUCAGGCUUUCGUUGCACGCUUACCCACUGAUGCUCCACCGCUUCCGCUCUCAUCUUUGUGAUUUUUUGGUAUUUUUGUUUAUGAUGUUAAGCUUAUAUGUAUUUAUGUAUGAAUGAAUGUGAUGUGGAUAAGAUUGUUUAUGUUUGGAUGAAUGUAGUUUAUGUUUGGAUGGAUUUACUAGUUUGGGUUUAGAUGGAUGUGAAUAUGAAUAUGAUGAAAUAUAUUAUAUAACAGGUGUAUAUCAGGAUGAAUAUGAUGAAAUAUAUUGUAACAGGUGUAUAUCAGGAAUUUUGUGCGG